UCAAUUAGUUGCUCGGAAUUUUUGAAGUAUCCUCCCUUUCAUCUCUACAAACACUCUCUACAAAUACUUCUUCUCUAAAACCUCCAUUCUUAUACAUAUAUAUUUAUAUAUACAAGGUUUUAGUUAUAUAAGCUUAGUUCAACCAACCAAGCUCUCUCCCAACCCAACUAGCUCCACCACUACUACUUUAGGCCUCCCGUAGGGCUGCCCGA
rnacentral:lncRNA from 1 species